UUUCCGUAGGUGAACCUGCGGAAGGAUCAUUAUUGAAUUAUGUUUCUAAAUGGGUUGUAGCUGGCUCUUUAGAGCAUGUGCACGCCUGUUUGGACUUCAUUUUCAUCCACCUGUGCACCUAUUGUAGUCUUGGUCGAGUUAGGAGGAAGUGGUCAUCCUAUCAGCAUUUGCUGGAUGUGAGGACAUGCAUUGUGAAAACUUUGCUGUCCUUUAUGUGAUCAUGAAAUCACUUUCUUGCCAGAGUCUAUGUCACUCAUUAUACUCUGUCGAAUGUCAUUGAAUGUCUUUACAUGGGCUUGUAUGCCUAUGAAAAUUGUAAUACAACUUUCAGCAACGGAUCUCUUGGCUCUC
rnacentral:misc_RNA from 1 species